GGAAGUAAUGGCUCAGUGGUUAAGGCUUUGGGCUACAGAGCAAAAGGUUGGUAGUUCAAAUCCCAGCACCUCCA